AGAAAAUGUUGACAGAUGAUGUAGUUGGAUGUCAGUCUGCCAGUAGCAACAGUACAGCAACUCACAACACCUCUGCUCAGACUUAAAAGAAAACAUCAUACAUAGUCACUUCUCAGGAAGGUGGAGGCUAACGGCUUCGCCUCUUCUACAGACUUUCUGCUCAGGUUGCCCUGGAGCUUCCAUCCGCCUUCAGGAAAAUGAUGCUUGUUCAGCGCAGAAAGGAACUCCAGACUGUAUCCACUACAUGCUACAAGAGGAAGGGAGGAUGUUGCUGAUGUGUGGUCUGCAACUGAAUGACCCAGUUACCUUUACUGUGGAGUGGCAGAAAUGGGAUAAAUGCUCCAUACUUGAUAAGACUUUGAUUCUUGCAGAAGCAAAAUUGCACUGCAGCUUAAAGAACAGAGAAUACUGUGAUUUGCUGAUAUUAUGGUAGCACUGAGUAGGCUGACUUGAGCGUUGUACACAUCUUCAGUGAGGAAAACCAUUCAUUAGCUGCAAAGCUUAAAUCUUCAGUAACUGAAAAGCAGGAAGGACUGGCACAGCCUUUUAGCAAUUCAAGAUGGAAAAAGUUAUAUGGUUACCCUCCAUAUGGGAGGAUGCGGGGACAUGUGAGAGAUUAAACCGAUAGAUUUUGAAGUUGCUUCUGCAUUUCUGAAUAAUCCCAUAGCGUACCCAGAUAACAAAUUAAAAUCUGUUGGACGUAUCAUUUAUUUUUGACAUACCAGUAACCGUGAAUACGAGAGCCAUUCUGACAAUAACUAAGGACCAAGGGGGACCAG
ensembl:lncRNA